rnacentral:rRNA from 1 species
GACGAACGCUGGCGGCGUGCUUAACACAUGCAAGUCGAACGGUGAAGGUGGGAGCUUGCUCCUGCUGGAUCAGUGGCGAACGGGUGAGUAACACGUGAGUAACCUGCCCUUGACUCUGGGAUAAGCGUUGGAAACGACGUCUAAUACCGGAUACGAGCUUCAGCCGCAUGGCUAGGAGUUGGAAAGAUUUUUCGGUCAAGGAUGGACUCGCGGCCUAUCAGCUUGUUGGUGAGGUAAUGGCUCACCAAGGCGACGACGGGUAGCCGGCCUGAGAGGGUGACCGGCAACACUGGGACUGAGACACGGCCCAGACUCCUACGGGAGGCAGCAGUGGGGAAUAUUGCACAAUGGGCGCAAGCCUGAUGCAGCAACGCCGCGUGAGGGACGACGGCCUUCGGGUUGUAAACCUCUUUUAGCAGGGAAGAAGCGCAAGUGACGGUACCUGCAGAAAAAGCACCGGCUAACUUCGUGCCAGCAGCCGCCGCAG